AGAGGGAUGGUUUAUACACAAGCGCCCCAAAGCCGAGAAACAUUAUGUUAUCGUGAAUCAAGCGCCAUGCAGAUAUAAACAGCCCUUGCUGCCCGCCCGAUUAACAGACAGCUCGACCUGAUGUUUUCACAAAAUCAUUCAACGGAUGAAGCAUGAGUGUACAGGAAUAUUCAAAAGGGAAAUUACAUGUAGGAGUAUUUACAGUUCGACCUGAUGUUUUCUCAUACACAUACAGUAUAGCCUCAAUAUAUCAUUCAACGUUUGGAGCGUGACUGUGUACUACAACUGUUUCAUUCACUAGUGUUUAUGACUUCAGGAAUUCUAAAGGGAAUUACAUGUAAGACUGAGUAUUUGUAAGUACAAUAUAUAAUCAUUCAUAAAAAGUAUAUACAACAACAACUGUAUGCCCGUGCACGCGCUGGAAAAAAACUUAAGUUUCUUCCAUAACCCCCAUAAAGCUGAAUGAAUGAUACAAUAGUUAGUUCCAUCAAACAGGUUAUAUUUCACUUUGACCUUAUAGAGUCUUCAUUUUUUGAAAAAUACAAGUUUGAAAUCUACCACUUUUCCAAAAAAUAUUUCCAAACAGUUAAAGACGGUUAUGUUACGCGACGUUUUACUGACAUUUCCUACCGGGUUAGUAAGAAAUUACACAUUACUUUGCAUCUGCGAAAAAAUAUAGGCGCUUGGCUUGAAAGCAAUAAUUUCAAGAAACUUUAUGAACACAUUUUGGAAGAAAUACAUUCUUGUUUGACACCACAGCCGCCAAGACGAAAGCUUAAAUUCAAAGGGAGAAUUGUUAAUAUUCAAGGUAAUUUUCCAAGCAGUGCGUUAACUUCUUGUUUUAGACAACGCGACGUACAGUCGCUACUAUAUUUUAUCGAAUCGUUUUUUGCACCCGAGGCAGACAGGGGUGAAAGACCGCUUGUUAAAUUAGAUUCCGAGGCAACGGAAAAGCCGUCCAUGCGUGGUCUGAAAUUCAGAGACGCAGGAGCUCAUUUUCAGUUUUAUACCACUCGAUGUAAUUUUGUUUUUACUAAAAUUGAGCUUUUUGCGGAGAAAACAAGAAUUGUCUUCGAAUUCUUGGAAGAAAAUCAGGUUGAUCAUGAAUUGAAAUUGCCAACAGACGGGGUCUCUCGGAUGAUCACAGACAAAUUCAUUUGCUUUUGAUGAUAACAGAAACAUCAUGACAGAAUUGAUUGAGGAUAUCAUUGCAAAAAUAGUCGCGGCUAUCGAGCCAUCAGAAGAAAAGUUCAUAAGAUUUACAAAAUGCAUUCGAAAAACGCUCAAACACUUUGACUCGUCAGGACGUCCCUCAUGGAUGAAGCUGAUUAAAAUCAUCAUCGAUACUCUGGGCGAUUUUACCAUUCAAAUAUCAUGUUAUCAUUUUGGAGGUUCGAUUAGGGGAGGGGCUAGUCCUUUGAAAGCAGAGGCCAGUUUAAGUAUUUCUAUUGCCCCAAAUGAUGUUGUGAAAGUCAUGAAAACUAGUUUAGAAUGCAGUAAUGGUGAGUAUGAUAGCGAGGAAGAGAGUGCGAUUAAAGCAAUUGAUGAUGGAUUCAAUAGAACUUCGAAUCAGAUUGAAAACAUACUUUCUGAGAACAAAAAACGAAAGGCAAAUAGUUGUUUUAUUGAUGAUACAGGCAAUGCCGUUGCGCACAAAAAAUGUCUUCUAUUGAAAAUGAGAACGAAGAACACGGCGCUGUUAGCUUGGAAGCCGAUUUGAACUUGUCCAGUGACGACGUGGAAACUGCGUCCGAAACCGAAUCGGAUGGAGUAGCAAGCCGGGGGGCCGCGGGUGCACAUGCAGUCGAAAAAUUAUCCCUGUCGAGUGGGUCUCUUUUUCCGAAAGCGUAUAAUGUAGAACAGGAUGUUAUCACUUUACGUAACCAGCUAAACGAACAACUUGCCUUCAAUGAUAUAACCCCCCAACAAGCUGGAGCUUCCGCUCAUGAAUGCUGUUCAGGCGAUGAAAAAGCCUUCGUAAAAAAAUAUCUUCGUCCAAUAUUUGAGUCGAAAAAGAAUAGAUUAAAAUAUCCUCACAUUAUUGAAGAUUUUGUAAACAUUUGUUCUGUCCACGAAAAACAAAAGCUCGCUUUGAAAAAGAUAAAACCUUGGGCUGAAAAAUGCGAAAAAUACCACAAGGAUUUUGUUUCACGAAAGGCCUCUGUAGACAAACUCAUGGCGCGGGAAGAAAAAGCUGUCGAGACUUUUAUUGCGGGCAUGAAAAAAAAUGAAGAAGCCAUGACAAAAUUUCACUGUUUCUUCGACCAAAAAACCACAGCUUUGCAAAGUUGUAAGGCCCGUCUAAUGCAUUGUUUGCCUGUUUUGACAGAAGCUAUCAAACCGUUUAGCGGAAAGCCAUGUGGAAAAGGACGUGGGGGCAAGAAAAAACAAUGACUUUUAACGAAAACAGGGAGGAGAAGGGCUCUUUUAAAAA